rnacentral:rRNA from 1 species
UAGGGAAUCUUCGGCAAUGGGGGGAACCCUGACCGAGCAACGCCGCGUGAGUGAAGAAGGUUUUCGGAUCGUAAAACUCUGUUAUUAGGGAAGAACAAAUGUGUAAGUAACUAUGCACAUCUUGACGGUACCUAAUCAGAAAGCCACGGCUAACUACGUGCCAGCAGCCGCGGUAAUACGUAGGUGGCAAGCGUUAUCCGGAAUUAUUGGGCGUAAAGCGCGCGUAGGCGGUUUUUUAAGUCUGAUGUGAAAGCCCCCGGCUCAACCGGGGAGGGUCAUUGGAAACUGGUUGACUUGAGUGCAGAAGAGGAGAGUGGAAUUCCAUGUGUAGCGGUGAAAUGCGUAGAUAUAUGGAGGAACACCAGUGGCGAAGGCGACUCUCUGGUCUGUAACUGACGCUGAGGCUCGAAAGCGUGGGUAGCAAACAGG